rnacentral:rRNA from 1 species
CACCGGCGGCCCGAGUGGUAACCGUUUUUAUUGGGUCUAAAGGGUCUGUAGCCGGCCAUGUAAGUCCUUUGGGAAAUCUGGUAGCUCAACUAUCAGGCUGCCAGGGGAUACUGCUUGGCUUGGGACCGGGAGAGGUGAGAGGUACCUCGGGGGUAGGGGUGAAAUCUUGUGAUCCUCGAGGGACCACCAGUGGCGAAGGCGUCUCACCAGAACGGGUCCGACGGUAAGGGACGAAAGCUAGGGGCACGAACCGGAUUAGAUACCCGGGUAGUCCUAGCCGUAAACGAUGCUCGCUAGGUGUCAGUCACGGUGCGACCGUGAUUGGUGCCGUAGGGAAGUCGUGAAGCGAGCCACCUGGGAAGUAUGGCCGCAAGGCUGAAACUUAAAGGAAUUGGCGGGGGAGCACUACAACGGGUGGAGCCUGCGGUUC